GAUGAACGCUGGCGGCGUGCCUAAUACAUGCAAGUCGAGCGAACAGACGAGGAGCUUGCUCCUCUGACGUUAUCGGCGGACGGGUGAGUAACACGUGGAUAACCUACCUAUAAGACUGGGAUAACUUCGGGAAACCGGAGCUAAUACCGGAUAAUAUAUUGAACCGCAUGGUUCAAUAGUGAAAGACGGUUUUGCUGUCACUUAUAGAUGGAUCCGCGCCGCAUUAGCUAGUUGGUAAGGUAACGGCUUACCAAGGCAACGAUGCGUAGCCGACCUGAGAGGGUGAUCGGCCACACUGGAACUGAGACACGGUCCAGACUCCUACGGGAGGCAGCAGUAGGGAAUCUUCCGCAAUGGGCGAAAGCCUGACGGAGCAACGCGGCGUGAGUGAUGAAGGUCUUCGGAUCGUAAAGCUCUGUUAUUAGGGAAGAACAAAUGUGUAAGUAACUAUGCACGUCUUGACGGUACCUAAUCAGAAAGCCACGGCUAACUACGUG
rnacentral:rRNA from 1 species